GAUUGAGUGGCGGACGGGUGAGUAACGCGUGGGUAACCUACCCUGUACAGGGGGAUAACAGUCAGAAAUGACUGCUAAUACCGCAUAAGACCACAGCACCGCAUGGUGCAGGGGUAAAAACUCCGGUGGUACAGGAUGGACCCGCGUCUGAUUAGCUGGUUGGUGAGGUAACGGCUCACCAAGGCGACGAUCAGUAGCCGGCUUGAGAGAGUGAACGGCCACAUUGGGACUGAGACACGGCCCAAACUCCUACGGGAGGCAGCAGUGGGGAAUAUUGCACAAUGGGGGAAACCCUGAUGCAGCGACGCCGCGUGAGUGAAGAAGUAUCUCGGUAUGUAAAGCUCUAUCAGCAGGGAAGAAAAUGACGGUACCUGACUAAGAAGCCCCGGCUAACUACGUGCCAGCAGCCGCGGUAAUACGUAGGGGGCAAGCGUUAUCCGGAAUUACUGGGUGUAAAGGGUGCGUAGGUGGUAUGGCAAGUCAGAAGUGAAAACCCAGGGCUUAACUCUGGGACUGCUUUUGAAACUGUCAGACUGGAGUGCAGGAGAGGUAAGCGGAAUUCCUAGUGUAGCGGUGAAAUGCGUAGAUAUUAGGAGGAACAUCAGUGGCGAAGGCG
rnacentral:rRNA from 1 species